rnacentral:lncRNA from 1 species
ACACAUUUAAAAUUGAAACACCAUAACAUACCAAGCUAUAACAACCCAGGACAGUAGCAUAUAGGACACAACCCAUUUGAUCCAUCUUUUGUAGCUUGAAAGCUAGGCCUUGCGCUUCCUAUUUCGUCGCAAGAGCAUGUUAAUGAUGUUCUUGAAGGUGGAUCAUGUUAACAGAAGUAACCAUAACCCCCAUUUAACUGGAACACCAAGUUGAGGCUGGAGAUUCAAGCCAAAAAUUAGAGAUUAAAACUCGAAAAUAGAAAAACAGCAACAUACCUUAUACAUCAUGCAUCCAAAGGAACACCAGCUAGGGUUUCCAACGGUCUAUGAGAUCCGCAAAGGCGACCUUGUUCCACAAUGACAAAAAUUAAUACGUCGGGAGUAGAGCUGAUUAUAGGCCAAGCCUCGGGCCUAAACUCUAUUCAUUUUUAAUUGGACUUCGAGCCGGGCCUAUGUAAAAUUUGAUAUUUUUUAUGCUCAAGCCCAGCCUAUGAUCAACUUUAGUUGAAAAAAUAUAGAAACGAAGGAACUUGAUUGAGGUCCCUCACGGUCUCUCUCUUUCUCCCAACAUCCUUCCUCCUUGUUUUAUUUAGGGUUUUUUAGAUGCAAGAGCAACGACGAUUGGAAAGGAAUCACCUGGAGUCGCAUGAUACCUCAUGUGUUUUGGAGCAUUUUGGUGCCCGAACUUACACCCCACUAGCAAUUGAUGCUAAGCUUACUUUGGCCAUUAUAUAAUUUUAUACUGUCAUAUCCUGAUCAUGUAACGCCAUUUCGUUAACAAAUAUGAAUGGUAGGAUUAUUUUGAAAUAUUUUGAAAAUUUGAAGAUACAUUUAAAGUAAAAGAGAGUGUAAGUGAAACUCAUCUAAAGUUUUUGUAAAUUUUAUAGAAGCCGAGGAGUUAGUUGCCAAUAAUUCCAAGAAACAACCGAAUGACGCGUGCGAGGGCCCAGAAUAGAUUAGCUAUGACAGCAUAACCGCGGACAUGAAGUUGAUGGGGAAAAGAAUGUGGUUCAGUACAUUUCCCCUGUAAUGACCAUCUAAAGGGCUAUAUGGACGUAGCUCCCCUUCAAUCAGCCUCCUGUUGGGAUUAGAGUAAGGACCCACGAGGUCUGGGACAUAUUGGCUAAGGACCCGUAAGCAGCGGACUGUGUGCUGUUAAGGCGGCGGGGACGCACCGGAACCUACCCUUUCAAGUGUUCAGCCAUGGUGACUGACAAAGAGUUACGACUCUUGUGAAGUUUGAUUUGUCAGAAUGGGUGACUUAACGACCCCUGAGUUGUUUUUUUUUUUCUUUGCUAGACAAAUAGAGGAAGGAAGAUGAAGGAACAAAGCCAACCCUGCGUAGCAGCUCCCACUAAGCCCCCACCCAUCAGAAAAAAUGUUCGACCACGUGUUGGGCACGCCAACCGUUUUUACUCACACCCUCCUCAUCCGUAAGCCCGGCUCGAUCAUCUCUCUAGGCUUCGCCACGAACUCUCUGUGUGAGUACGUCACACCUUGCACCACUGAGACUAUCAGUCUUUCCAUCUCACGUGUCCAAGCGGAGAACAUCCGGUCUCCACAUUUAAUCGACGUCCGCACGUUUCGGACUCGAACCGUGCGGGUGAAAGUAAUGACCCAGUUCCACUGAACUACCAUCUCAAUGGCACCUUUGAGUUGUUACUUUUGCUUUUUUGUUGAAUUUUUGGUAACCUUGUGGAGUUUGCUUUGGGGCAAUAACAAGAUCCCACACUCUGGAAUAUAAAUAAGAUCUGGAAACUUAUGUGUUUGAGCCCACGUAUCAUCGUAGACUGUAGCUCGACUGUAUAGCAUGCCAUCGUCAAUUCUGUGGGUGUGAUGGGUGGAUUUGUGAAAUAAAUCACCAAUCCCUCGAUGUGGCAGGGGGAUCAAUUCUUAGUUCGAGGGACAUGCCCAUUUAGGGGAGUUAGGCUCUUAGAUAGAAAUGGAAAUGAAUUACCCUUGCUUGGUUGGAAGAGUCACAUUUUCAUUUCUAUUCCAAAAAAGAAUGUGAAUGCCCCGAUCUUCUAAAAUUCAAUUCCAACUUUCUCCUUACAUUCAAAUCGCAUUUCGCCAGAUUUACUUAAAAAUUUAUUUUCCAAAAAUACUUCUUUGUUUAAUUAAUUUUCAAAAAUAUUUUAAUUAAUCAUUUUGAUUCUGAUUCCAACAUGAACCCAAUGAGUCACAAAUAUAACCGCUCCAAUUUUCAUUCCAAUCCAUUCCGAUCCUAAUUCAAGUAAUGAACCAAAUAAAUCUCAAGAGAAGACCCAGAGUACCAUCAACCUUAAGUGCGGAUGGUCCCAGGAUCUCUAUGUUCUAAGAAUUCGAGCAUGAGGACCACUAGUAUUUUGGCUGUGUCCUGGUGACUGAAAUCAAAAGAUGCUGAUGUUGUACCUAAUAUAACCAAUAAUUUAACCAAUAGAGCCCUCUCCAUGGUAUCAGGCUCGAUCAUGAUAUAGACAGCAGAAGUUUAAAGUUAAAAAAGCAAAUCAAGAAAGAAUCAUUCACCUUACGGAGACUUUGCUGUGGAUUGUGAGUAGGAAUGAGGCUGCUGAGCAUAACCAUAAAUUAAUUCAAUUUACUGUCACCAUGCAGGGCGCCACACACAGGACACUUCAGUUGUGGUACAUCCAAAAAUUAAGUGGCUUUAAGGUCAUGGAUGGGCUGUUCAGAGCAAAGCAGCAAACUGAACCCGACUGCUUAUCCUUAAUGCUCCUCAAACAUUUUUAUAAGAAGAGAACAAAGUGGCUUCAUUGGAUAUCUACUGCACCGCAAACAUAUAUGAAAUCUGUAAAUAAUGAUUUCAACAGCCGAAUGUGAGGCACAUGUAAGCGAUACCAAUAUGACAUCUCAUAAGUAUCAGUGGUGAAUGUAAAAUGUCCAACAAAAAUAGCAAGAGCUCAUGAAAUGUCACCUAUACCAAAUAGAUUAUAACUAAAACUGAGGAAGACACCUGACGACUGAAUUGGGGCAGUAGAAACACGGACACCAGUCAAUAUUUCUAAAGACAUAAGGACACAGAGGGGUUGAACUAAUGUGAUUUAAAGAAACAUAUAAGUUUUACCAAAAAAAGAAAAGAAAAAAAAAAUAUAAGCUCUCUAAACAUAUGAUUGGCCAAUAAACCAUAAAUUUCUCAUGUGACGAAAAGAAACCUUACUUUAGAUGUAAUUAUAGCAGGUUUUUACAGUUUGCUACCUUGAAAAGCCCAUCAAGUGGCAUUCAUAGAGGAAUAGCAAUCAAUCAAUUCGAUUGCUAUAGACCCAGGUCAAUAAGCCAAUUUAGCAUUACUUCCACCACCAUACAGGCCUCGAAAGCAUUCAUAAUGCCCUUUCUGUGUGAUUCAUUGGAAGCGACCCUACAAGGAGACAUAGGUUGCUCACCCAGCAGAACAAAUAAAUUGACAUCUAAACUAGCUUCAGCUAGCAACCUUAUUAAGCUUCAGUAUCCAUAAGCCUUGUAUACUUUGAACCACCUCAGUGAAUCUACGAAGAAAAAUGGCCUCCAUAGAGUUAGACUUCACCCUUAGAAUCACAUUUCUAUGCAUUUUGUCAUAUUUACUCAAGACAAUUCUUCAAAACAUGAUCUCAUUUGCUCUUUCUAGAAAUGCCAAACAAUGGCAGUGCUCGCAUUUUUGGGAGAGCAGGGGGUUCCAAUCCUACCUCAUGAGAAUUCACUUAAAUAAUUUGAUGGUCAGAGUCUAAACCACUGUUCUACAUUACAUUCAUUACUUCCCUUGAUGAGAAACUAGCACUCUUCCAAUCAACAGAACUAUUCCUCAGCAUGGAUUCCUCCAUAAAGAAAAGAAAAUGAGAAGGUAUGAGGCAAAUAAUUCUAAUAAAUUUUUUAAGAGGAAUAAAACAAUUUACAUAGAA